rnacentral:lncRNA from 1 species
ACUUGUCCUGGUAAGAGAAUUAUUGUUGAAAGGUCCUACAUGGAGGAAGAGUGUUCUAUUUCUGCUGUCUAUACAGAGAAAACGUUGCAUUUGUGGAACAUAACAGCUAUAGACAAAUGAAUCAACCUCAUUACUUCCGAGCUCAUCAGUGAAUAUAGGCGCACAAUAAGUGUCGAAUUGCACGCCACAUUCCACCCCACUCUAGUCUAACAUCUGAUUAUGACGCCUCAUGAUGGAGAUCGCGAACAGAAUCAACAACAUUUGCAUGACAAUCUAUGUUUACAUGAGAUUGCAAUACCUCAGGCAGAAGAUUGGGUAGAGAACCAACAGUAGUUGCAUUCCAGUCUAUGUUUACGUGUGAUUGCAAUGCCUGUAAAAUGCGAACACGAAAUAAACUGUAGUUGCAUUAUAAUCUAUGUUUCACAUGUGAGAAGAU